UACGUAGGGGGCAAGCGUUAUCCGGAAUUACUGGGCGUAAAGAGCUCGUAGGCGGUCUGUCGCGUCGGUCGUGAAAACUUGGGGCUUAACCCUGAGCUUGCGGUCGAUACGGGCAUGACUGGAGUUCGGUAGGGGAGACUGGAAUUCCUGGUGUAGCGGUGAAAUGCGCAGAUAUCAGGAGGAACACCGGUGGCGAAGGCGGGUCUCUGGGCCGAUACUGACGCUGAGGAGCGAAAGCCUGGGGAGCGAACAGG
rnacentral:rRNA from 1 species